rnacentral:rRNA from 1 species
AGUAACGCGUGAGGAACCUGCCUCAAAGAGGGGACAACAGUUGGAAACGACUGCUAAUACCGCAUAAGCCCACGGCUCGGCAUCGAGCAGAGGGAAAAGGAGUGAUCCGCUUUGAGAUGGCCUCGCGUCCGAUUAGCUAGUUGGUGAGGUAACGGCCCACCAAGGCGACGAUCGGUAGCCGGACUGAGAGGUUGAACGGCCACAUUGGGACUGAGACACGGCCCAG